rnacentral:misc_RNA from 1 species
CAUGAAUCAAACUGAUCAGAUUCUUAAAAAAAGAAUAAGAUACUUCAAGUUUGCAGGUAAAAAUAACUUAAGAAGCCCUUUCUAGUGGGAAAGCACCCUUUUAAGAACACAACACUAGUCCUAAGAGUCACAGAAAACCCCAGUUAGAUGGAAGCACAAGAUAGAUAUUUACAUAGUUCAAGAAGAAAUGUGCAUCAUAAAAAUCCUGAAUUUACUUGAUCAUUAUAGAUAUUAAAGAGAGAGAGAAGUAGGGUGUUGAAGGGGGAAGAGUUUUUAC